GGUAAUAUGUCUGAUUAAAGUUAUAAAUUGUAAAUUUAUAUAAGAAAUUUAAAUUUCUAUUACCA
rnacentral:tRNA from 1 species